rnacentral:rRNA from 1 species
CUACGGUGGGGCAGCAGUGAGGAAUAUUGGUCAAUGGCCGGAAGGCUGAACCAGCCAAGCCGCGUGAAGGACGAAGGUGCCAAGCAUUGUAAACUUCUUUUGUCAAGGGACAAAAUCAGGCUCGAGAGCCUGACCGAGCGUACUUUAAGAACAAGCAUCGGCUAACUCCGUGCCAGCAGCCGCGGUAUUACGGAGGAUGCGGGCGUUAUCCGGAUUUCUUGGGGUUAAAGGGUGCGUAGGCGGACUGGUAAGUCAGCGGUAAAAGCCCGGGGCUCAACCCCGGCGAGCCGUUGAAACUGGCUGGCUGGAGAAGACGAGAGGUAGGCGGAAUGCGCAGUGUAGCGGUGAAAUGCUUAGAUAUUGCGAAGAACUCCGAUUGCGAAGGCAGCAUACCGGAGGGGAUCUGACGCUGAGGCACGAAAGCGUGGGUAUCGAACAGGAUUAGAUACCCGAGUAGUC